AUUGAACGCUGGCGGCAUGCUUUACACAUGCAAGUCGAACGGCAGCGCGGGCUUCGGCCUGGCGGUGAGUGGAGAACGGGAGAGUAAUACAUCGGAACGUGCCCAGUAGUGGGGGAUAGCUCGGCCAAAUCCGGACUAAUACCGAUUCCGAACUAAGGGUAAAAUCGGGGGACAUUCAGACCUCGGGCUCUUGGACCGCCCGAGGGCAUAGUAGCUAGUUGGUGGGGUAAAGGCCUACCAAGACGACGAUCCGUAGCUGGUCUGAGAGGACGAGCAGCCACACUGGGACUGAGACACGGCCCAGACUCCUACGGGAGGCAGCAGUGGGGAAUUUUGGACAAUGGGCGAAAGCCUGAUCCAGCAAUGCCGCGUGUGUGAUGAAGGCCUUCGGGUUGUAAAGCACUGUUGGAUGGAACGAAAAGGAAUGAGCGAAAAUGACGGUUCGAUGACGGUACCCUCAGAAUAAGCAACGGCUAACUACGUG
rnacentral:rRNA from 1 species